AAUAUGAAAUUGUUAUACAGGAAAGAAACCCUGUAAAGAGGGCAGGACUUGAGAUCCAAAGCUAGCAAGAGCUGAGAUGCAGGUUGGCCGCGUGGAGCGUGCGACACAGCAAAAGGGCUGGUGAGGAACUGGGCCUGGGCAUCUUGCCACUGGACAUUUCCGAGAACAGGUGGCUAUUUUUUUUCCUCAAGCAAAACUACUAUUUCAAAUAUUACUGCAGAUAUCCUCCAUCUCCAGUCAACAAUGGAAAAGAGAUCUCUGAAAAGACUAUGCUAAGGUAUCCUUGUUCCUUGGACUUUGGUACAUUGCUUCUCAAACCAUCUCUUCUCCAUGUAGUCAAGGGCAAGAGUCUAUACUUGCCUCUCAGCUGUUACUUUUGUUUUCCACACUGCAAUAGAGAGAUUCUUGGAGUACCUUUUACAACAUGCUGAUUUCCCUCUCUGAAAUAAGUCACAUCACUGUGAGUAUAGUAACUCUGCUUUUUGGAGUCUGGACUUGGUUUCUUCAGCUGGUACUCUGCAAAAUAAAGUCAUUCCAGUCAUGGAGGGCUAAUAAACAAGAGAGGGGGAUAUGUGUGAUUAAUAGCUUCCCAAGCUGACAAAGCUGCACCACCAGCACUUUUUUAACUGAAGAUUACACUGCUUCUAAAAAUCUUUACGUUUCCAGGCUCUGGUAGAUAAUAAGUAUAAUGGAAAUCGGAGUGAAGUUCUCUGGCUUGACUGCCAAAUUAGCCCCAGUCCUGCAAGCACUUUUGCAGAAGCUUAACAUUACAACCAGGAACAGACCCAUUAUGGUUCUGCUCAUUUUAGUAAAUUCAAGCAUAUGUUUAAGUGAUUGCACAGUUGCGGGGGAGGAGAGAGGCAGGAUGAAAGGAAAUCCUAAAUUGUUUCAAUCCCCUUCAUUGUUUCAUUUACAAAUUGGAUUGGAGGCAGCUUUCGUGUGCCAUAUGGUCUAAUUUGCAACAGGAUGGAUUUUAUCAACACCUACGAGAAGUUCUGCUUCUUCUACUUAUGUGAAUUAGCACAAAAUAACAGUCUCCAAGGAAUUCCUGAACUUUGGCCUUCUUAUCUGGAAAAAAAAGUUAUGUACCACCAGAGAGGAGACAUUUAGUUGUGAUUUACUGCUCCCUUUCAGGUCACAACUAAUAUACAGAAAAGCUAACUGCCAUUUUGGCAGGGAACAUCCUGCCUUUUCUAGCUGAAAAUUAAGACACUGGUACAGAAUGGACUUGAGCAUCAAGCACCACCUCAGCUUACUUUGAGGAGAACUGUGUGAAUAUCUGAUAUUUGGCAGUUCUUCAAGAACCAAUGGCUAGAAAAUUUGAGCUAUAUUAUUCCACUAAAGAAAAAGCACAUAAGUUUAAUAGUGUCAAUAAUCACACACAAAUACAAAUUACACACAAAUAAUUACACUGAGAGAAGCAUGGGGUUCUCCAUCCUCGAACUGAAACUCCCCAAAAUGCUUUCCAGAGCCAAACACAAGCUAUUAGACUCAAUAUAUGAGUUGCAUUCCUUGGAUGACAUUAUACAAGAAAUCAGGCUGAUGGUGUAAUGGCUUUACAAUCUAUACACCUGCAAGAUUUAAUUGGCCAAAUUCUGUAGUUCAUGUGGACAUCCUUGCAGAUUUCAGUAACAUUAUUAACAUUUAUUGAAGUGAGAGAAAUAAAUUGCAAUUUAUCUUCUUCUCCUUUUUACCCUUGCAUAUUGCCUCCGUAUGUUGCAACGGGAAAGACAAAGCCAUUAUUUUAUUUCCUUUUCUGAGGAAACAUUCUACUUGACAGUGUCAAUGAAUCACAGUUUGUUAGGGUGGCCCCUGCAAGGCCACUUGGAAACGCUCAUGAGAUUACUGUGGUUGCAAUUUGCCCAUUAGAGAUGGGAUAAAAAUAGGCGGCCCAGCUGUCAAGAUAUAUAGAGUCAUAAGUGAAAAAGUACUUUUUUUUUUUUUUGUCAGAAAAUGAGAUCAAUCAGUUACUUUAAGCUGAGAACAAAUUGACCCAUUUAUUUCUAACUCUGAUAUCUUGCAUACGCCUUUCAUUAAACCAUCCCUAAGUUUGACUGUUAAGAAAGCAAAUGUAUUUUAUCAUCUGGUUUUAUUUUGAGGAAAUUAUGGCUCAUUUUUAAGACAUUCAUGAUAAAUGUCUUAAAUGAAAUUUGGAGGGAAAGUAACAUUAAAUCAUAUCCUAAACAGCAAUUCCAAGACAAUGUUGUUAUUAAAAUUCUGAAUGUUAUCAAUGUGUUGGCUUUAUUAAGAUAAAUUUGACGUUACAUUUGGGGUUACCAGUCUGUGGCUGGAGUUGUAGCUUUAUUUUUAAAUGAGAUGACAUAACAUCUGCAAUGCGAAGCGAGCUCUCAUUCUGCUUUCAGCAAAUUCGUCCAAAGUAGCUCUGACUGCACAGAAAAUUACACUGGUGCAAAAAUAAUCUACCCUAAGGUUUCCUCUGGUUGCUGAUUUACAGACUCAGGCAAUGCAGUGUUGCUUUAAAAUAUAAAGCUAAAAUUCAUGCAGCUGCUUCCACAGACUGGUAACCUCAAAUGCAUCUUAUUAAAUGCACUGUGUUAAUAAUUUACUUAAUUUAAACCAUUACUGUGAAUUGCUGUUUGGAAUACAAUUUAAUUUUCCUUUUCCUCAAAUUUGCCUCUAUAAUGACUUAAAAAUGUGUCAUAACCCCCCCCCAAUACCUUGACAAAAUAUAUUUGAUCCUUUACUAAUCAAUGUCUAAAGUUUUUUUUCAUACUGAUGCUGGUUUCAUGAAGGCAGAAUGAGGCUCACUUCACACAGUGUGUAUCACUCCACUGUGCAUAUAAUAUAAAUUAAUUUUACCUAUUUUGGCAUCGUUGAUCUUCAAUAGUUUCCCAAGGGAGAUACAGAUCCCUGGAUACUGAAUUUAAAUUAUAGUGCCACUGAGCUUGGUUUUUAAUGUCCCACUUGAAGACCUUUCAGAAGCAGUCAACAAAUCCCCAGGGGCCUGAGGGACACAGUGUGAAAACCACUGCACCGAAGGCUCUGAGAGGAAAUAAUUGCCAGCCUGCGCUGGGCUGGUUGAGAUCUCUGUCUCUUUUCUGCACAGCACAAGGCAGUGUCAGCUCCCUCAUUUCCACUGCUGCAGCCACACUGGAAGAGCAGGACUACUGCUCCACCACAAACAGAGCAUAACUGAAGUACCUAUAAUUAAAAAUGCAUGGAGGAGGGAGAAACCUGAUUCCAGACAAUUUCUUAUUUCCAGUCUCUGAGCAGCACACACCAUUUUAGAGCCUAUUUCCAAAACAGCGUGCUUCCUCCUCAGCACAGGCGUUGACUCAGCUAAGGAAUGUAUUCCAUUACAGCCUUGCUGGCUUGCCUUGUAACUUCAUGUAGAACCAGUUAGUUGCUGUGGUGACAAGGACCAACAAACAGAAAAAAAAAUUAAAAAAAAAAACUCUUUCAGGACUGGUCAGAGCAGUUUAACGACAGCAUGCAUGAUUAAAACUUUAAAACUUUCUUGUUUUGUACCCUUCUAAAAGGAGGGUCAACCCUUCCAGUUGUCCCUAAUGACAAACUGGACCACAGUUAAUCUUGGUGAAAUGCCACUGGCUUUUGGAGAGGUAGGUGAAGGCUUGGUGUGGAUAAUGCUCAGUGAGGAAGGUGUGGAGAAUGCUCAUUCAGUGCCAACAUCAGUACAAUCCUGAAAUCACCUAUAACAUUCAAUUGGAGGUGUUUGAAAAAUAAGGUAUGAGAAAUAUAACAUUACAUUGUUUUAAGAGAGAGGUACAAACUGCCUGAAACUCACAAAAAAUGAAGACCAUAACAAUGUUGAUUAUUGCUUUUAUUUUCUAACAUUUAACAAUUUCAAAAGAGGCAUAGUGUGGGAUGUAAACUAUGAGAAAGUGGAAAUUUCUCACUUUAAAGAGAGAAAAUGUUUCUCAAGUCCCUUACUCAGUUUUGAGCUUGGUUAUGUUUGGCUCUGCAGACACAGUUCAGUCGUAACAUGAUGGGCGUAAACUGUGGUUCAGUGGCUGCAAGGAUGCUGGGCUGUUACCUGCUCUAUGCUGAGGGAGAUGGAGCUUAUACAUAUAUAUGCCUGUAAGUACAGGUAUUUGUAUGCAGGUGUGUGGACACAUUUCGUUAAUAUAAGCUGUACUAUUAUUAUUAUAGUUAGGUAAUUCUCAUCCUAUUACUUUUAUUGCUAUAUUAGUUAAUUUACUGCGUACCCUCAAGGGACUUCAUUAACAUUGGCAGGAUAAGCCUAAAGGCUGUUGUGAUGUCUAGACAAAAGGAAUUAAAGACACAGCAGAAAUACUUACUCAAUAUUUCCCUUCUGUGGGAAGUUUCUGUCUCACUCUUACUAGCCUUUUAAUGUAGCUUUAUUAAGGAUUUAAUGCAAUAACCAAUGCGUGCUGUAAUGGAAUAAGUGUAAGCAUUUCACAUGUAUUUACAGUUGGGCAGACUCUCCCUGCCUAAUAUUCAAGCCAAUUUAAUGUUGUGGGCUUGAAAUUAAACCAUGAAUGUUAAAUCUCUAGGAUUGUCAUUGCAAAUGGGAAAAAAAAAAAAAAAGAAGAAGAAAAAAAAAACCAUACCACAACAGUUAGACCAUACUAUGGAAUUCCUGCACUAUUGUGAGAAGAGGAGAAAGAAAGCCCUCUCUCUCAACAACAGCAGAAAAAGGGAUAAGCAAAAAUUUGGGGUAUCUCUUUGUGGGAAAUGUAAUCCAAGCAAGAUCAGGGAUGCAUGGAUUCUAGGGCCAGAAAGGACCAGUACAGCAAAAAUCUUGUUUCAGUUACUACCAAACCACCAGACAAAACACCGUAUCGUGUCAAGAAUUAAUGGGAGGAGGCACUGACAGCUCUCUUCUCAAGCUUAGGUCUUGAUUUCUCUUCUCCUACAUCUUCCAAGUUACUUACAUUUUGGUGCCUUCUACAAAAAGGUUCUGAGAUUAGUAAAGGAAAGCCAGAAAUGUCAGAAGAUUGUCAUAAGAAGAAGUCAGGAGAAAAGAGGAACGGAAGAUAACAGUACACUUCAGACAGAACAGGAGGGAGGGAUCUGACAGAGUGAGGAAGUCCAGCAGAGUGUGAGAUGGAAAAGGGAAAUGUCAGAAGAUCUAAGAGGUUUGAAAAGUUUCCAUACUUACGAAGACUGAUCUGAGUGAAACUGGUCUGUGUCUAAUAAAUAUCUUCAUUAAAAUAUUCACGGUUGGUUCAGACUGACUAGACUGUCCUCCCUGGGGCUGUGUAGGAAGUGUUUUGGAAGAACAGCUUAAUUAAAAUUAAGGACAAACAACAACAACAAAAUGCUAUUGCCAUCCCUUCCUUCCUUUCUCGAGUGAAGCCACCUGCUUCAUCUCUUUCCUUUCACUGUCUUUCUCCAUCCCAGCUUGGAAUAUUCCACAUUGCUUUAUAGAAGGCUCCAACGUCUGCUGUGUCACUGCUGGGCUCUGUGCCUAAAGGCUGAUGGGUUUUCUGGCAACAUCCUGUUGCUUCCACCCCAUACCUUCCUAUGCUUGCACUAUGGCCAGCUGCAUCUAACCUAUUAUUCUAAGUGCUACACCUUCCUCCGCUGAUUGAUUAUGUAUCUUAAAAUCUGACGACAUGGAAGGAAAAAUAAAAGUUGCUUGGCUUUGGAGUUGCACUUAUUUCUGUCUUUUCCAGCAGACAAAAGAAUGUAGUCAAAACCAGAAGGAGAAGGAAUUUAGAAGACUGAAUACCAGAAUUUUAUUGUCCAGAUCUUUGGAUGUAAGAGAACAUAAGCUAAAAGAGCAAUAUAUAACUAAUGAAAAGAAACUUAGAAGAAAAGAGUGAAACAGAGGUGGAGAGCUUAGAGAAAGAUACCUAGUUUAUAUAGGCUGUAUUAUUAAAAAGUUAAAAAUGCAUUUUGUUCUGAAAGCUAGGAAUACUUUGCUCAAAAAAGAUAAAAAUUCCAGCAUGACCUGGAUUUCGAAAAAUGUUUCCCUGGCCUUACUAGCAAAGACACUCAGUAGUGGCUGGGAGGCGGUUUGACAGCCUGGAGCACGGGGCUUAAAAUGAUCUGUUUUUUUCAGGACUAUUUUGAAGUUAGAGGCUACAGUGUAGUGCAAGCAAACUGCAGAAUGCAUGUAAUCCAAAACCAAAGCCACGAACCAAUUUACAAAUGCAACUAAAUACAGCAAUGUUCACAAUGCCUGUGUAUACUGGGGUAAACAGUACCCAAAGUCUUUAUCAAAGACGCAGAUUUCCGUAUAAAUUCUCAAAACACAUGCAUGUGUAAAUAUAUGUGCCACACAAACAUUUUUUAAAUACUUGAAAUGAGGAUAACAAUGCAAAAGAAAAUGAGACACCUGAACGUUUUCAUAGCCAAUUAAUUUAAAUUUAUUUAUCACAGUUCCUCCCUGAUUCUUGCGCCAAUGUUGAAAACUGAUGUAAUGGAAAUGCUGUGGUAAAUUUUGAAGAGAUAAUAACAGAUAAUAACAUGAUAAAAGCUUACAUUCGCUACUUCUCUUGUGGUCAUCUUUGUAGUAUUGGUACAUUUUUCAGAGGAAUAGCUUCAAGAUGUCUGCAGGCUCAGGAAGGCAAAGUAUAAUGGAGAAGAGGAGGCUCAGGGGAGGCCAUAUGGCUCGCUACAGCUACCUGAAAGGAAGGUGUGGGGAGCUGGGGGUCAGCCUCUCCUCACAGGUAACUAGUAAUAGGACUAGAGGGAAUGGCCUCAAGUUGAGCCAGGGGAGGGUUAGGUUGGAAAUUAGGAGAAAUUUCUUCUCAGAAAGAGCAGUCAGGCAUUGGAACGGGUUGCCCAGGGAGGUGGUGGAGUCACCGUCCCUGGGGGUGUUCAAGGAAAGGUUGGACCUGGUGCUUAAGGACAUGGUUUAGUGGGUGACAUUGGUGGUAGGGGGGUGGUUGGACCAGGUGAUCUUGGAGAUCUUUUCCAACCUUGAUGACUCUAUGAUAACCUAGUGAACUGGAGGUAUUAUUGUCAUAAUGGUAACCAAUAAAUACAUCUAUCUUUGUAAACAUAUUUACCUGGGUGAUUACAAGAGCAACUACCUCCAUGGAGGAGUUUUCAUGUAAAAUCGACUGUGGAAGUGAAGACUCUUAUGGGACUUGAAAGAAAAGUUUUGAUACUUAAAAACAAGUUUGAGUAAACUAUUUUAUUCUUUGAACAAUAGUAAGUCUCUCCAUCUACCCAAUAAAAAGAUAAAAAUUUAAAGCAAAAAUAUAGGUGUGUAAUACUUUGCAUAAUUAAUAGCUAGAACAAGUUAACUGUACUCUUAUUCAACAUUUUAGUGCUCUAGAAAAGCAGUAUGGCCUUUGCAUCAUUCUUGGAUGGUGCUCAGAUGAAAAAGUAGACAAACCUAAACACUGAAAAUAGCCACUAUAAUCUUCAGAUAAAUGCUGGCCAGAGGUACCUGUGUAUAGCUGUCCUUUGCCCCAUUCUCUGAGAAAAAUCAGUCCAAUUCUCCCUAGCAUCUGAAUGCUUCAGGUUUUACCUACUAACAUACUUCUGUUUUACAGAUUGUUUUUGUUCUUGGCUUUCUUUUCCAAAGUGAAGUCUGGAAUUUUCCUGGACUGCUCUAAUCCUGAAAAAGUUCUAUUAAAAGAUUUAGUACAGUUAAGGGACAAAUAAGUUUGUGUUAAAUAUGUAGUGAAGUCAGCUAAAGCUGUUAACAUUUCCUACAGGUCUUAAGUAAUGUUUUAGGACCUUUUCUCUCUGCUUUUGAAUUUAAGUUCCCAAGGCAACUCCCUGCUGUAAUACUGAGGAUAUCCAAGAGAUGAUUCUUCUGACAGUCCAGCUUACUCUGCAAGAAACAAGUUCACUAUCUAUUUCCGGGGUUAUUCUGGGAAAUGAGAAGCACAUAUAGGAUUGAAAGAAAUAUUUCAGUUUAGAUUCUUCACUCUAAUAUAUGAAACUUAAAGAGUACUAAAAAUACUAUUUUCUAUUGACUGAUCCAGUUUCUUGACAGAUACUGGUCUAAGUGGCAUCCUGUCUCUUUUCCUACAUUGCUAUACAAUGAAGAAUCCAGCAAAUAGCACAAACCUUACUCCACAUUUACUCCACAUCUUCCCCCAGAUAAUACAGAGGACUGUCUCUGUGGUUUGUUGUUGUUGUUGUUUUGUUUGUUUUUUUCAAUUACAAGUGUCUGGAUUGUAAAUCAAACAUGAAACUGAUAGAAAAUUGGUGCUUUACGGCUCAACUAGACAAAUGGUAUGAAGUACACCCUGUCAGAGCCAUUCACCGCUUUGAUUUUCAUUUCUAGUUUUGCACAAGCGCCAGCACAUGCUUUCAUGGUGUCGUUCUGUAAUUUGGUGUUAAAUAUGCAUUAGUAUCCUCAGCAACUUUGCCUGAUUCUGCCCUUUUUUUUAACAUACUAGAAGCUAUUCACAAUGUCUUUGCUCAUGUGAAACUGAACAUAAAUAUACAUGGACAUAUAUAUGUACACACAGAAAUGUGAGGUUUUAGCUAUGUUUUGUUUGUUUGUUUUCUUCCUAAAACAGUUGUGGAUGUUUUAAUAUUGCAACCAUGAGCAAUUAUUACCGUGGUGCUUCUAAAUGAAAUUGCAGCUAGCACUAACUGUUCCUUCUGACAGGGGUCUGUGAAAAUACUGUGCUGGCAUCCUUCUGUACGAAUGUGCUGAAUUACUUUCUCUUGUGUCAUUCUCAGCAGAAGUUCUGGCAGUCAUAGUCUACAUUUCCUCUAAACUCAUGCAAUUUUUUUUAUUUCUGGCUUUUUAAAACCAAUGACAAGGUGUUGUAUAGUCAAGCUCCAAAAUGUGCUUUAUUCCAUGUUUAUCAAUGCUCUGAAAAUUUUUUUCUAUAAAUUUUAUAAAUACAUAAAUAUUCCAGUUUUCUAACAUUAAUGCCAUGCUCAGUUUACAAACCAGACAUUUGUAAUUGAAAAAUAUAAUCUGUAAAUAUGGGAAACAGAGACAGUAUGUAUAUUUGCUGGGUGAGAAAGGUGCAUGAGACUGAGGUAUUUGACUCUGUGGUAUGCAUUUUAUGUGCAUGACUCCCACCAGCCUUCCAUAAGUGAUAUGUGAAACUUUUUAUAUGCAUGAAUUAUGUUUCAGGUUGUCUAUUCUUGUAUAAGCCACUGGAAUUUAUUAUUAUAGUUUCUCUCACAUCAUCUAUUGACUUUAAUGAUCCCCUCAAUUUCUCAAACAUAUUAUUCAUAAAUGAAUUCUUUAUUUAGUAGUCAUAGUUGCAUAGCAGUACUGCCAAGUUGCUUGUUCAGGUAGUUUAGGCAAGUAUUUUUCUAUAAACAGCAAAUUCCAUCACAGUGAUCAUUUACUUUUCUUCUCUUCCAACUACUCUCUUAUGUUAUUUUAAAAUCCAAAACGUUCAAAUAAAAGGAUGCCAAGUGUUGGGCUUUCAGAUAUUAAAUAAAUGUGAAAGUUAGCAACUCCCUGGAAUAAGAAGUUUGUACUACCUCAUUUGUCUAUAUUCCCAAAGUUGUGAUUUCAGACUUUUCUGUUUUAGUCUUUACCAACUCUUUAAGUCUGUAGGGAAGUGAAAUAUUCACUCACAAAUUUUGUUUUUCUGAAAGCAAACUGUUGCUAUAGCAAUAUGUGAUGUCUACAGAUUUAACUACAAUGAAGGCUAAAGGAGAGUAAGGUAUUUUAGGAUGUAAAUCAUUCCUGUAGAAUCACUGAACAUGAUGUUUAAUAAAUAAAAGAGACUGGAGUUAAAUUUAAUUGGAAGCUUUCCUGUUACUGAAAAUGCUCUUUUUUAAAUGGAAUCUACCAGUUCAUGUUCUGAGAUGGUAUUUAUUUUUAAAUAAAUAUUUAAAUCUCUCUUCCAGGGGCACCAUACAUAUUUUUUUUUCUUUAACUGUGUUCUUACAUCUGCAUAACUUAGCAGGUGAGUAUGGCUCUGAAAUAAACAAAGGUAUGAUCCACAGGAAGACAGUGACCCAUGUUUGUCUUGCUUAGAGCAUUUCUUCUGCAUGCUCUGGGGCAGCUUCCCUGCAGAGGAGGACUAACAGAGGGGAAAGACGUGUUUGUCUGAGGGCAGCACUCCAUUCCCAUCUGGUGGCCAGGCACUCUUGAUCAGACAGCAGUUCCCAUUGAAACUACCAUAAAACAGGUAAACGUCCCCUGCUAUCAGUGCAAUGCUGUGGGAGAGAGGGGAAUUGGCCAACAAAUGAGAGUUAGUUUUACUCUGUGCAGGGACAUUUGACUGAGUAAAAAGCAGUCCAUCUGCAGAAACAAACAAACAAACGAUCCAACAAGCAAACAUUAUUUCUUUUAUGACUAUAUACAUCACAGCAAAUACUUGCCUUCAUCUGGUGUCCCAGCCUACAUAUGUCCCCCAGCCUGAUGGGAGCCUCUCUACUCCAUCUCCCAGCCCUCUGGCUAAGUGACACCCACACAGGGUUGAAAUCAUUUAACAUGACAGCAUUUAAAAGCAUCUACUUACAGGUCCAUAUAAACUAUACAACAGUGCAAAGACAUUGGACAUUCCUCAGGCUAGCAGCAACCCAACCAGAUUCAGGACUGGAGGCAGUAUUUUGUCAUUGCGGACUGCACUCAGGUUAAUUAACUUUGCUGAGAAGUGGGGCUAAUUUAGGUAGGGCAGUGUUGCAAGCUACAGUGCUUUCUGGAGAGUAUGAUGCCACAUGGCUAUAGUGAAACUGCUGGGAGCUAGUUUACAUGUUUUUGCUCCAUACAUUGUGGCACAGUGUAAGACAUUACCCUUCGGUCCCAAAGAGUGUGCAAUGAUGCACAGUAAUACCAUGAAGUAAUGGGCCAAGUUAUUUGCAUACCUUCACUUCCUUCAAUCUCAGAACUGGAUUUUGUAACUGUUAUAUUAAAUGUUAUUCCACAAUAAAGCACUGUUGGUUCCAUCAGCAACGUGUAAUUCAGCAUCGUGGGAGACUCUAGUCAAGGGUGAGCAGUUGUUUUCCUCACUUUUUGUUCCCAACAAGUCGAUGAGAAUGCAAGUGUCUUCCCUCUUAGAAAGGAUCUGGCUGAUGGCCUGCAUGUUGGUCCAUCUAACUAAGGCAGUGUAUCCAGAAGAAGGAGUCUAAGAAAAUUGUUAAGCUGAAGAAUUAGUAACCAAAUUCAAAACAAAAUAUGUAUUUUCAGUUUUUGCAGUUCUAAUAU